UGGGGAAUCUUGCGCAAUGGGCGAAAGCCUGACGCAGCAACGCCGCGUGGGGGAUGAAGGCUCUCGGGUUGUAAACCCCUUUCAGCAGGGACGAAUCAAGACGGUACCUGCAGAAGAAGCCCCGGCUAACUACGUGCCAGCAGCCGCGGUAACACGUAGGGGGCAAGCGUUGUCCGGAUUUAUUGGGCGUAAAGAGCUCGUAGGUGGCUGAGUAAGUCGGAUGUUAAAUCCCCAGGCUCAACCUGGGACACCACCCGAUACUGCUCUGGCUAGAGUCCGGUAGGGGAGCAUGGAAUUCCUGGUGUAGCGGUGAAAUGCGCAGAUAUCAGGAGGAACACCAGCGGCGAAGGCGGUGCUCUGGGCCGGAACUGACACUGAGGAGCGAAAGCGUGGGUAGCAAACA
rnacentral:rRNA from 1 species